UUCUCUGAACUCUCUCUUUCUACCUUCUCUCCCCAUCGGAAGAUAAUCAUUUGAUUUUUCCCGCUCUCGCGUAUCAGUAUUUCGUGUUUGCUGCUAAAAGCAGUUUGCUGCGUGUGAUCUCGGUUUAAGUUUCUAUGGCUAUUCGUUUUGCGGCUUUCUGCUCAAACAAUUGCGUUCUCAUCUGCCUUCUGGCUCUGGCUUUCACUUGCAGAGCAUCAUCUGAUGUGGAUGGCUUCAAAGAGAAGACCCUGGCAAUGAUAAAACCGGAUGGAGUUGAAGGUAAAUAUGUUGAUGCUAUAAAGGAAAUUAUCUUGGAUUCUGGCUUCAGCAUCACGCAGGAGAUUGAGCGCCAAUUAGAUGAGGAUACAGUGAAAAGUUUCUAUGCUGAGCAUGCUUCAAAGAGUUUUUUCUCAAACCUUGUUCAGUACAUGACCAGUGGGCCAGUGCGGAUAAUGGUAAUAGAAAAGGAAAAUGCCAUAGCUGAUUGGCGUGCUUUGAUUGGACCUACAGAUGCAAAGAAAGCUAAGGUGACUGAUCCAGACAGUGUCCGAGCAUUGUGUGGACUCAACUCAGAAAGAAACUGUGUGCAUGGUUCAGAUUCACCACUAUCUGCUGCUAGAGAGAUAUCUUUUUUCUUUCAGAAGUCUGAAUCAGGUUUUGUCCCAACGCAUGAUGAGUUAUAAAACUGGAGAAAUCAUAUUCAAGUUUCUAUCGGCAGCGCCUCUUUGCUGAUAGAACUCACCAAUUAUUGACCAACUCUUGUGAUUAGUUUGGGUGAUGAUCUUACUUUCCAUGUACAUAUAAUCACUGAGGCUUUCCAUGGUAGCUUGGCCAUAUCCUUCCAAUACAACUUUGUGAGCACAAAUCAGGCCAAGUUGAUGCAGAAGUACAUUUUUGUGAUCAAAGAUUAUUUAGCAUCCAAGAUCCAAUGAGAUUUGCACUGUUAGUCAACUAGCAUUAGAGUAGCCACUUUAUGGAGGGUAGUAGUCCACAUCAUUCAGCACCCUUUGUUUAAUCAAAGCUAAGGUGUUGAAACAGCAAAACAUUCCAUAUUUGGCAACUUUUCGAGUUUCGAUUCCACAACUUAUGGCAAUGGGGAGUUGGAUUUUCUCAAAUUCUAGACAUUUGCUAGUUGUACUCAUUCUCACAUGGCUGUGGCUUCUUUUCCUCUUCUUUGUUUAUAGAGGGAACGUAUAAAAUAAUGGGAUCAUUUUUUCUUUCUUGAUU